AAGCUUAUUAAAGAACCCACUCAAGCUGCCAAAGUUUUCAAAGAGAAUCUGCUAAGGGAACAUGCAACUGGGAAACCACUUAGAAUGAAGAUGGAUGUAAGGGACUCUGAAGAGGACAGGGAACGGGAGCUUCUCUUAUUCUAUAAACAGCAGCAAGAAUGGGCAUGUCCACUUCAUUGUACUCUGGUUGGUGAUGUUGCUAUCGGAGAGGGAGUGAUGCGGUACUUUAUGACAACAAUCAUAUCCAAACUCCAGUUUGGAUUCAGUCUAGAUCUUGGAGGAAUGGGCCGAACACUGCUAUUUGAGGGUGAACCUGACCAUCUUGUUCCAGCAGCAUCAGAGGCACUUAUUGAAAGCAACCUCUUCCGGGUUGCAGGAAGGAUGUUGGGCCACACCUUUCUGCAUGAUGGUCCCCAUGUCACAGGACUAAGUCCUGCUGUAAUUCAUGUACUGUUCAAUGGGGACCCUGAAAUGGCUACUGUUGUUACAGAAGAGUGUCCUGAUCUGCACAUCAGGAGCAUCAUAGAACUGCUUGAACAUGAAGAUCUUACACCGGAACAGAAGGACACAGUUUCAGAUCUUUCCAUGUCUUGGGAUCUUCCGGCAGUCACCAAAACAAAUCGGAGAUGGCUACAUAACAAACUUCUACUCCAUGCAGUGAGUUCCUGCUGGUUAAGUGACAGAAUUCAUCGCUGUACUUGUUGAAAUUAUAGAAUGUGUUGUGAACCCUGGCUUGUUAUGUUAACACGAGAGUUUAAGUACUAGAGUUUUAAUGGAUUUUUAUAAAGCACUUUAUUGUGUUUAUUAACAUUUUUCCUACUGUGCCAACUUUUGUCAAAUUUGGGUUAAGGAUUUGGGCUGUAAUAUGGGUCGGUCUGU